rfam:Vigna radiata var. radiata cultivar VC1973A chromosome 7, whole genome shotgun sequence
AAAGUAGAGUGCAGCCAAGGAUGACUUGCCGGCAGUUAUCUACUUAUAUAUUUACUCUUCUUCUUCUUCCGCUCUUCGAUCUUUUACGCCGGCAAGUUGUUCUUGGCUACAUUUUGCUCUCU